UGGGGAAUAUUGGACAAUGGGCGCAAGCCUGAUCCAGCAAUGCCGCGUGAGUGAUGAAGGCCUUAGGGUUGUAAAGCUCUUUCGCACGCGACGAUGAUGACGGUAGCGUGAGAAGAAGCCCCGGCUAACUUCGUGCCAGCAGCCGCGGUAAUACGAAGGGGGCUAGCGUUGUUCGGAAUUACUGGGCGUAAAGGGCGCGUAGGCGGCCUGUUUAGUCAGAAGUGAAAGCCCCGGGCUCAACCUGGGAAUAGCUUUUGAUACUGGCAGGCUUGAGUUCCGGAGAGGAUGGUGGAAUUCCCAGUGUAGAGGUGAAAUUCGUAGAUAUUGGGAAGAACACCGGUGGCGAAGGCGGCCAUCUGGACGGACACUGACGCUGAGGCGCGAAAGCGUGGGGAGCAAAACAGGAUUAGAUACCCUGGUAGUCCACGCCGUAAAACGAUGAAUGCUAGACGUCGGGGUGCAUGCACUUCGGUGUCGCCGCUAACGCAUUAAGCAUUCCGCCUGGGGAGUACGGCCGCAAGGUUAAAAACUCAAAGGAAUUGACGGGGUCAUAGCUGUUUCCU
rnacentral:rRNA from 1 species